AUGAUAAGUGCAAUUGAAUAAGCAGCAACAUAGAACACCAGGAUCGGUCAACAGUAGCUUGCAAAAUAAAAAACAAAACUACAAUUAAAAACUUAAUAAGCAACAAAUGGUAGCCGGUGCUAGAAUAAUAUAAUCCAACACAAUUGAUUGUUCACCUUUUACUAGUAAACUGGCACAGAAAAGCCAAUGUUAAAAGAAAAAAGACAAUCUUUUAAGGUAUAAUUUAUCUUGUUAUGGUUAUUUUUAGUCAAUUGGAUAGCAAAAUUCCAUCAAAAUCUUUAAGCUAAAUAUACCUUUUUUUUUGGUAAGAAGCUAAAUAUACCUUUAACCACCAUAAGAUCAACAUGAUAUGUUAAAAAAAGAUUGAAAGAGCAACAAAUCACCAUAAUUAUCUAUUGGAGUCCUAAUUUGCCAUCUGCAGUGAGACAUAGAUAUGAAAGAUAGGCAUUGAUGUAAAAUGGAUAAAUCUAAUUAUUCCUGUUCAAGCACAUCACUUCAGCAUCUUGGAAGAAAAUAAGAAGGAUUUAAUGGAGCAACAGGCACAAUGAGAGAGCACUGCUCAUCCACAAGUGUAGUGAUUCAACAAUGAAAAUCACAUCGAACAUCUGCAUUAAAUAAAGUUAAUAACAAAGUCAGACCUCAUGACACAUGAAUCACAGGCUCGAACACUAACUAGAAAUACCGAAUCAAACUAUCAUAAAAGCCUGCACAUGUAUAUCAGCCACAAAGAUAAAGCAGACAGUGGAAAUUGCAAUAAAUAGCUGCAUCCACAAGCAAGUUAGAUGAAGCCUGUGGAAGAAUCACAAUGCACCGUCUGAUAAAUACCAAGUAUUUGCUUCAAUCACCAGCCAAAAAUACCAAAUCUUUCAGAGAAGUAUCAGCAAAACAAACGGAAGCAAAAAUUAAAGUACAAAAUGCUUAUGGCCACGCAUUAGAAAUACAAAAUGCUUAUAGCCACAUUCUCUUGUCCACCAUACCGCUUACAUCUCUUCACAAGCCAAAUGAUUCCAUAACAAAAGAACGAAUAGAUAAAACCCCAUUCAAACCGAUAAGUUAAACUCCAAAUCCCCCUCAAACCAAGAAAAACAACAGGAAACAUGUUAAAAAAUAAUUCCAAUCACCAUUGAUGGUGUAAAAAAUAUGAUUCAAAUAAAAAAAAUCAAACAGUUUCAAAAGAUCGAAAAGAAACAUCCUUUUAAAAAUACCAGUUGUAAACCAAGGGUAAAACAGAGAAUAAUGUGAAAGACAUAUCAACAGGAAAGUAGAACCACCUCAAUCACUAAAAGAAUAUCUCAAAGAGACGAGAUACUUCUUCAAGUCUGAUCCCUGCACAACAGUUGUCUACAUGUGAUAAAGAUAAAGGGGAGUUCAAACUCCACAAUAAUUCAAACACCGUUAGACAUGUUAACAAUUCGAUCGAAAUAAACUACGAGAUUCUCAUAAAAUCAUAGGACAGUUAGUUCUAUCAACCUGUUCAUAAGGAAAUGAUCUAACACCAUCAAUGGAAAUUGGCAUGAAAACAAACUCUGAAAAUUAAAAUAAAUCAUCAAAACCUCCUAAGAUUUAAUAAAUCACACAGGGCAAGUCCUAGAACCAGAUGAUCAUCAGAAACUAGAACUUGACAAAUCACAGCUAUGAUAAGAAAUAACAACACCAUACAACCUUAAUACCGGACUAGAAAUUCAGAACCAACCAAACCCGUACUCGAAACCAAGAACCAUCACUGGAAUCCAAAAAACACCGAGACCAAACAAGAAAUCAAGAACACAUAACCCUAAAACCAGAAUAGAAAACAAGAACCAACUAAAACCGAAGCGGAAACCAACCACCAUCUCAGGAAUCCAAAGAAUGCCGAAAUCAAAAUAGAAAACAAGAAACGAGUAAUCAAGAAACGCAUCAAGAAUGCAAACGAAAGGAAGAAAAGAUACGAAAGAGGGGACGGAUCGCUUGCCUCCUCGUCGUCGUUCUCGUCUUCCAGCGGUGGCGGAGUUUGGUAGCGGGAUCAACGCUCCAGGGACGCGACGCGAAGAAGAAGGCCGACCCAGGUUUGUAACGGCUCGGCUCGUCAUCUCUUCAAGCCUCUCGCACGAAAAAGAGCUCAAGUUCUCCAACCUCAGGGCGGUCCCAUCGCAGGAUCCCGAAGGAUCGCUGAAAGGGAAGGGGAGAGAGCGGGAGGGCGGGUUGAAGUCCCCCAGGGAAGGAGUAAAUGUUCGUUGCUACGGUGCCUCCCAGGGAAGAGGGUUCAUCUCGGUUACCCUCACCUCCACG
rnacentral:lncRNA from 1 species